CCUACGGGAGGCAGCAGUCGAGAAUCAUUCACAAUGGGGGAAACCCUGAUGGGGCGACGCCGCGUGGGGGAAUGAAGGUCUGCGGAUUGUAAACCCCUGUCAUGUGGGAGCAAAUUAAAAAGAUAGUACCACAAGAGGAAGAGACGGCUAACUCUGUGCCAGCAGCCGCGGUAAUACAGAGGUCUCAAGCGUUGUUCGGAAUCACUGGGCGUAAAGCGUGCGUAGGCUGUUGCGUAAGUCGUGUGUGAAAGGCGCGGGCUCAACCCGCGGACGGCACAUGAUACUGCGAGACUAGAGUAAUGGAGGGGGAACCGGAAUUCUCGGUGUAGCAGUGAAAUGCAUAGAUAUCGAGAGGAACACUCGUGGCGAAGGCGGGUUCCUGGACAUUGACUGACGCUGAGGCACGAAGGCCAGGGGAGCGAAAGGGAUUAGAUACCCGAGUAGUC
rnacentral:rRNA from 1 species